AUGGCCUCACUUGGAUUUCCAUCCAUAUCCAUACCCAUUCUCUUCUUGAUCACCCUGCUGUCCACUGUACCCACAUCUUCUUCUCCUGGUCCAAGCAAGAGCAAUGGCAGCGACACUGAUCUUGCUGCCCUGCUUGCUUUCAAAACACAGCUCUCCGACCCUCUCCGCAUCCUUGCCAGCAACUGGACCACCAGCACGAAUUUCUGUCACUGGGUUGGUGUCACAUGCAGUCCGCGCCGGCAGCGGGUCACCGCUUUGAAACUGCCAGGCUCCCCCCUCCAUGGAUCAAUCACUCCUCACCUUGGUAACCUCUCUUUCCUCUCCUAUCUCAAUCUCAACAAUACAAAUCUCACGGGCUCCAUCCCCGAUGAUUUAGGACUACUUCGUCGUCUUAAAUAUCUACAUCUCGGAUUCAAUGGCCUAUCAGGUAGCAUCCCAACCACCAUAGGAAACCUCACAAAGCUUCGUGUUCUUUCCUUGCAAGGUAACCAUCUAUCUGGUUCAAUCCCGGUAGAACUGCAGAACCUACAGAGUCUUGGCUACUUCCUUAUCUUCAGGAAUUACCUGAGCGGCUCAAUACCCACCUAUCUAUUUAAUAAUACCCCUCUGAUAACUCACUUGAACAUUGGCAACAACAGCCUGUCAGGACAUAUUCCAUCUUGUAUUGGCUCCUUACCAAUGCUCGAGUCCCUUGUCCUUCAAGCGAAUCGUUUCAGCGGCCCAGUACCUCCAUCAAUAUUCAACAAUUCUAGAUUAACUGACAUCUGGCUUGAACUGAACUACAACUUAGUUGGUCCAAUCCCUAACAACAAAAGUUUUAGUCUGCCAGCGUUGCAAAAGAUCAGCCUGGGCGGCAACAGAUUCACCGGUGAGAUUCCAUUGGGGCUCUCCUCUUGUCUCUACCUCCAAACUAUCUCCCUCGAUGGGAGUUUCUUUGAGGGUGUUGUGCCAACGUGGCUAGGUAAGCUUUCUCAUCUCAGUUUCCUUUCCUUGGGUUGGAAUCACCUUGUUGGUCAAAUUCCUCUUGCACUUAGCAACCUCACUCAGCUAGGUUUACUAGCCCUGCAAGGCUGUAAGCUGUCGGGCUCCAUUCCGGAAGAAUUUGGACAGCUGGACCAACUCACUGUGUUGGAUGUCUCAUACAAUAAACUAGUAGGACCCAUUCCUGCUUCUCUUGGUAACCUCUCUGAAUUAGCAUACCUCCUCUUAAACAAAAAUAUGUUCCUUGGACCGGUACCAGGAACAAUUGGUAGUAUCAACUCUAUGCUUCAUAUUGACAUUUCAGAGAACCGCCUAGUGGGGGGUCUUAGCUUCUUAUCCAGUUUUUCUAGGUUUAGAAAGCUCCAGUUUAUUCAAAUCUCUUCAAAUAAUUUCACCGGUGGCAUUCCUAACUAUGUGGGGAACCUGUCGAGCCAGCUGCAGAUUUUCGCUGCAUCUAAGAACAAUUUUGUUGGUGAACUUCCGGCUAUGAUUUCAAACCUAACAGGUCUUGAAUGGCUAGAUUUUUCAGAGAAUCAGCUGGAUAGCAAGAUUCCAGAAUCCAUUGUGAUGAUGGAGAAUCUCCAGUGGCUUGCCCUGCAUGGAAAUCGCUUGUUUGGGUCCAUCCCACCUCAGAUUGCCAUGCUCAAGAAUAUAGGAAAUCUGUUCCUUUCCAACAAUAAAUUGUCUGGUUCAAUACCGGAGGGGAUUGGUAACCUGACCAAGUUAGAAUACCUGAUACUGUCUGCCAACCAGUUAUCAUCAAUUAUCCCAUCAAGUCUAUUUGAUCUUGACAAUCUCCUCUAG
rnacentral:rRNA from 1 species